AGAGUUUGAUCCUGGCUCAGGACGAACGCUGGCGGCACGCUUAACACAUGCAAGUCGAACGAGAGAAGAGAAGCUUGCUUUUCUGAUCUAGUGGCGGACGGGUGAGUAACACGUGAGCAAUCUGCCUUUCAGAGGGGGAUACCGAUUGGAAACGAUCGUUAAUACCGCAUAACAUAAUUGAACCGCAUGAUUUGAUUAUCAAAGAUUUAUCGCUGAAAGAUGAGCUCGCGUCUGAUUAGCUAGUUGGUAAGGUAACGGCUUACCAAGGCGACGAUCAGUAGCCGGACUGAGAGGUUGAUCGGCCACAUUGGGACUGAGACACGGCCCAGACUCCUACGGGAGGCAGCAGUGGGGAAUAUUGCACAAUGGGGGAAACCCUGAUGCAGCGACGCCGCGUGAGCGAAGAAGUAUUUCGGUAUGUAAAGCUCUAUCAGCAGGGAAGAUAAUGACGGUACCUGACUAAGAAGCCCCGGCUAACUACGUGCCAGCAGCCGCGGUAAUACGUAGGGGGCAAGCGUUAUCCGGAUUUACUGGGUGUAAAGGGAGCGUAGACGGCGAGGCAAGUCUGAUGUGAAAACCCGGGGCUCAACCCCGUGACUGCAUUGGAAACUGUUUUGCUUGAGUGCCGGAGAGGUAAGCGGAAUUCCUAGUGUAGCGGUGAAAUGCGUAGAUAUUAGGAGGAACAUCAGUGGCGAAGGCGGCUUACUGGGCUUUAACUGACGCUGAGGCUCGAAAGCGUGGGGAGCAAACAGGAUUAGAUACCCUGGUAGUCCACGCCGUAAACGAUGAUUACUAGGUGUGGGGGGACUGACCCCUUCCGUGCCGCAGCAAACGCAAUAAGUAAUCCACCUGGGGAGUACGACCGCAAGGUUGAAACUCAAAGGAAU
rnacentral:rRNA from 1 species